CCCUUAGAUGUCCUGGGUCGCACGCGCGCUACACUGAUGCAUGCAACGAGUUUAUAACCUUGGCCUGAAAGGUCUGGGUAAUCUUUUGAACGUGCAUCGUGAUAGGGAUAGAUUAUUGCAAUUGUUAAUCUUGAACGAGGAAUUCCUAGUAAACGCGAGUCAUCAGCUCGCAUUGAUUACGUCCCUGCCCUUUGUACACACCGCCCGUCGCACCUACCGAUUGAAUGGUUCGGUGAAGAUCUCGGACUUCGAUAUUUAUUCUUUAUUGAGUUUAUAUUGUGGGAAGUUAUCUAAACCUCAUCAUUUAGAGGAAGGUGAAGUCGUAACA
rnacentral:rRNA from 1 species